ACGGGUCUCGCGGAAUGAGUGCCUGCAGAAAUCCAGGAGCGCGCGACUCCGUUCCUGAGCUGGCGUGGCGCACGUGGGAGUGAACAGGCGCCCGCCGCGGGAAGCCGCCGGGGUGCCCCUGCGAGGUCGGAAGCCGCGUGCGCGCGGCCGUGUCCCGUUUGGGCCGCUCCCCGCUCCCCGCGGUUUCUGCCUCGUCGCCGAACGUCCCGCAGCUCCCGCCCUCCCCACUCCACCCCGCAGCCCCGGGGCCGCCCCCAGCCUGGAACUGCAGGCGCGUCCGGCGCGAUGGCGCCUCCGUGUAUUUGUUGGACCGGCGGAGAAAUGGGUUCAUUUGGAAAUAACAGAGAACUACAGCGAGGGACAAGGAAGCUACAGCAAAAACCACAGGCUCGUCCUCAAACAUAGGAGAGGAACACUCUUAUGGAGAAGGAAAUUUGGGAGCAGUUGUGAAGCAAAGGCCAUGGGAGAAAAGCAACAGAGCCUAAGCCAAGGGCCAGCACGGUGGACUGUGCAGGAAAGUGCUCAUUGAACAGGCUUUGGCUGCUCAACUGCUACGCAUCCCAAAGGACUGGCCCCUGACCAGCUCCAGGAAGACAACCUGAGUCCUUGAACAUCUGGCCUGGUAAGAGUGACUUUAGGCCUGUAUCUGCAGGCCCCGCUGCAUCAGUCUGACCAGGUAAUUUAUACUAACAGUGUGACUCACAGAGAAUGGUGGGUUUUGUAUGCCUGAGGCUCUGAGCCACACCGUACGUUUGCCUUCUGCGAUCCCACCGAGUAUCUACGGUCAGUCACGAAGGUACUACAUGCCUCAGGAAGAAACCCUGGACACCGAAGCUUGGGUGACUUUCCCUCAUUGGCGACACUUGAACAUAUUGUCACACAUCUUUGCCAAAAGAGUUAAGCAAGCCCCUGUGUGACUGCACUGGGAGGGAACACCUGGAAGCUUGGCUCAGUUUCCCCUGGACUUUUUACCGUGUGCCUUUUCCCUUUGGUGACCUUGACCUGUGUCCUUGAGCUGGCACAGACGGAGUAUAACGGCAGUUAUCUGAGUCGAGCAAAUCCUCCUAGCAACCCAUCAAGCAGGAAGGUGGUUUUGGGGAGCAAAGAACCGUAUGUAUACACGGUUAUGAUCUAGAUGGUGUGCUGGUAAAGGUUCCCUGAGGACGUGCCAUUUGAGAUGAGAUGGGAGGGCUAAGCAUGCACUAACUAGGCAGUGUGGGGAGGCAAGAGGCCAUAGCAGGUGGGAAAGUGAAGGAAAGGGAAACAGCAAAUGAAAAAAGAGACCAGAGUUGUGCAUGAGAAAAGGAAGUAAAUUAGGCACAUCCCACACCAGGUAAGGCCCCAUGGAUGGGCCAUGUUAAGGAUUUGGUUUUUAUCCCAAUAGUGAAGGGAAGUCAUGAAACAUUUGAGGGAAAGGGGGUGGGGGUGAACCCACCAUGACCAAAUAGGAGCCAUAUCUCUGGCUUCAGUGUGGAGAAUCGACUGGAGGAUAAAAGCAGAAGCUGAGGUGUCAGAUGAUGUUUGGAGGGACCAGGGAGGGGGCAGUGGAUUGCACAGCAGCAAGGUCCCACAUGGGAAAACUUCACAAUGACAACAGCUGCUUGACACAGAAAUAGAAGAAUAAGCAGGGACUUAAAAAAAAAAAAGUCAUCCAGCAACUAAGAACAAGUCCAGGAAGUAUAACCAGGCAGUCUGACUAGAGGGCCCAUGCUCUUGACACUCCAGUGCUCUAAGGAAGGCAAAACCCAGUUGCCCAUUUACAGUUUAGCUCAGACCAUUCACUUGUGACACGUGUAACCUACCUGUGAGCAAGCCGAUUACAGGUCGUUAACCCUCCAAACUCAAGGAUGACAUCACUGAGCAUUUCAGAGUCCUCCCCGCAUCGCACAACUGAGACAGGAAAGGCCAUCUGUGGGCCAAGUGUGAGAAGAGAGGGAGCUGCGCAUACUCCCAGAGACCAGAUUCCCACAGGCCUCCAGCAUCAGGUCUCUGUAGAGAGCCCUCCCAGCUGGAGCCCAAUGCUCCCACUCCCUCCCAGUCACUCCCUCUGACAGAUCCGUCAACCUGAUGAAGCCUACAACACACUAAUCCCAAGUUAGGUGCACUGAAUGAUGCACAUAUUUGGUUUUCUGUUUGUUAAAGCCAGAGGCUAAGAGUAUGAACGGUAGGAACAAAGAGAUGAGAAAUUGCUGACGUGUAGUAUAGAAAACACAUCAAUCUGGCCUUGACACUUUAUAGACAAAGGUAUUAACAGGGAUAUUUGCAAGUCAGACCACUUGAAGUCAUACACACAUGCGCGUAACACACAUACAUCUAUCCGGUGUAUAUGUACGUAUGUGUGUAUAUAGAGUCCUAAGUGACAUGUACACACACACAAUCAGUAUUUGGAAGAAGUCCUUUCUCACCAGACUUCCCUGUACCUUGUCAUUACUAAAUUAAAUCCUGGCUAAUUUCUAAGUUCUACUGUGGCUUAGGGGUUUUUGGGUUAGUGGUUAUGCUCAUAGAAGCCUCCAAAGUUAUGACUCUUAAUUGUUGCUGUAGGAGCUGUAUUUGCUUUAUGUUACAGGAAUUUAAUCAGCCUUUUAGUACCAUUUCAGUCUGUCUAAGGAAAUAACAGCAGGCUGGAGAACUCCUAUCUUUUGAACUUGCAAGGUUUGCCCUUGGCUGGGGUUUGAGACCUUAGAGGUCAGCAGGUUUUGCCCACACCUGGACAUGAGUGUCUCAGUGUGCCCAAGUUUCUGGUAUAAACAGCGGGGCUUACAUUGAACGCCUACUAUCCUUCUGGAAACCUAGAACUUGGUGCGUGCUAGGAGAGUCCCACCCCCCUCCAAAAAACGCCGGGUACCGAGAGUUUCUAGGGAGCUUCCCUAGUAGACUUUUUCAAUCAUUGUCGUAACUCCUUGAUGGAGCUCAAAUUAAGCACGUCCUGCUUGACUUCCCUGACACAGGACUCUCCAAGCUUGUCUCUGAUGUCUGGCCUUCUUCAGUCCUUGUACCUCCUCCCUUGGCUGAGUUCGCUUUCUAUCCUUUUGCUAUAAUAAAUCAUAGCCAGUGAGUAUGACAAAAUGUGGAGUCCUGUGAGUCUUCCUAGUAAAUCACUGAAACUGGGGAUGAUCUUGAUGAUUCCUGACAUAAUCAUUCAUUGUGACUUCUAAACUUUUACCGAUCUGGCCCUACAAGCCUGUGCGGAUUCUCUUCGAGGUCAACAUGUCAUAUACUGUGCCAACCAUGUAAACAGCUUUGUGUGAACACUCUGUGAGGGACCCAAACAUUACAAUAAAAAACACCCUGCUGUGAGUGGCCAUUCACUAAGACACACAUAUACUGAGUCUCUAAGGGGAGAAAAAGUUAAAAUGAACAUAAUGGGACAAUGGCUGGAAGUGGAUGAUGAAAAAUGGCUGCAAAGUGUCUGCCCUGGGCAACAAGGCAGAAGACAGCGACAUUCGCUGAGAUUUUGGGCACCUCAAACACAACGCCAAAAUCCAAAUGCAUGCCUUAGCCCAUCUCUACCUCCCAGCCACCUCACCCCUUGUCUGUACUUUCUGCAGUUGCAACAGAUUAUGCAGCCGUUAGAGUGAGCUUGGUUUAUCCCAACCUAAAGGGAUGGUCAAGAUUUAUUGUCAAAUGAGAAAUGUAACUUGCAGACAAAUGAUGGUGAUUUGUUCUGAAGGGCCCCACAGACCUGCCCUAUGGAAGGCAGUAAAGUGGUAAGGGCAUGGAUUCCGCAGCCUGCCUUCCUGACCUCCAAUCCCAAAUCCCCAUACUUCCUAAUCAAUUAUGAAACCUUGGACAGAUGCUUUGUGCCUUAUUUUUCUGAUCUGUAAAACAGAGAUAACAUUACCUACCACAUAGAGUUAUCAAAAAGAUGAGUUGAUGUGUGUAAAACAUUCAAAACAAUGACUGAAACAUGGUAACAUACCACGUCUGCUUGCUCUCAUUAUUACUGUGGGUGCAUCCUCAUGGUGAUGGCCAUGACCACAUGACACAUGCAGACAGGCUCAGUAUGUAUGAAUACUGAUAAGAUGUGGAAGGAUGAUGAGAGAGAAACAUUCAACCUGGAGACAAGAAUUUGGGGAACUCUGUACAUCACUGAGCAUAAAAUACCUUAAGGGGGGAAUUAACUCACUCAUGGAACACCUCACAAGUGAGAAAGGAAGGGCAACAGACAUUCUGAGAAGCACCGUUUAAUAGAUGGAAGAAGACACACAUCCUCUGAAGGAGCAGGGCAUGAACUCACAGAAACCAGGAAAGGACCUUCAAGUCAAAGAGGUGGGCAGCAGUAAAUAGGUCCAAUAACAGAUUGUGUGUGUCGAGGAGGGGCAGUGCAGAAGGUGGGAGGACAAGAGGGAACUUUGGGAGACUUGCUUAAGUCAGGUGACAGUGGUGGAGACCACUGUUUAGUUGUCAGUGGGGUGAAGGGACAUGAGGGGGUGGGGACAGACAGUGGACAAAACAGUUACACAGGGUAUGUCUAUGACAAAAGAGAAGGGCACAGCUCACUGGGCAUGUGGGGCAGAAAGUGCCUGGGGGUGAGACUACAGACUUGAACACUUGUAUAGAUUAAGAGGAUAGAAGGGGAUUAAGAGGGAGAAGUUAAAGACCAAGCAGGGAGGGUAUACAGGAAAGAGGUCCUAGACAAAUUGGGGGUUGGGGGUAUGUGUCCAGCCACAGAAGAGUAAUCCUUGAAGAGAAGUGACCCCUUCUCUGGGGCUAUAACAAGGCUUAGAGAGCUGGGGAACUUUACACACAAAUCUCCCCUGAAGACUAGAACCCUGAAUAAUCUGCAGAUCACCUUCAGUUUUAAGACCCAUUUUUAGAAAUAUUUGUGGACAAAAGAACUUCCAUUUCUCCAGAUACUUUAGGAUUUCUAUUCCAGCAUCAAGAUAAACCACCAGAGAAUCCUGACUUUGGACUACAUAGUUUUGCCUGUUUUAUAAGAGUCCUUCUUUGGUAUUACAACCUAGGCAAGGAAAUAGAAAAUGUGAAAAAGAAACAGGGAGAAAUUAAAAAAAAAAGAAGCCAAAAUGAAAACUCAGUGAAUAAGCUCAGCAGGAGAGGAAAUGAGAGAAAAGAGAAUCAGUGAUCACAAAGAAAGAUCAAUGGAGGGGUGCAUGGGUGGCCCAGGUCAUGAUUCUGGGGUCCUGGGAUCAAGGCCCACUUUGCAAUGGGGAGCCUGCCUCUCCCUCUCCUGCUCCCCCUGCUUGUGCUCUCAUAAAUAAAUAAAAUCUUAAAAAAAAAAAAAAUCAAUGGAAAUUGAUCAAUCUGAGUAACAGAGAGAAAACAGACUGGAUAAACAAAAAAUCCGAGAACUCAUUUAAUUCGAGUCCCUGAAAGAAAAGAAAGAGUAGGGCUGAAAAGCUAUUUGAAGACAUAAUUAUUGAAAAUCCCCCAAAUGUGGCAAAGGACCUGUAUCUUCAGAUUUAAACAGGUGAACAAACUUAAACAGGAGAACUCCAAAAAUUCGAUGCCAGGACACAUCGUAAUCAAACUGAUGAAUUCUAUAGACAAAAACACUUUAAAAGCACUUGACAGAAAGGAUGCAGCACAGGCAGGGGAACAAUGGUUGAAUGGCAGUAGGUUUUUCAUCUGAAACCACGGAGAAGACAGGGAAGUAACAUGUUCUUCUUGUACUAAAAGAACUGUAAACCCCAAGUCUUUUCUCCCACAAAAACAUCUGUCAGGAAUGAAAGGGACAUAGAAAAUCUUUUAGAUGAAGGAAAACAAAGUCCUUUGUCAACAGCAGACCCACCCCAGAAGAAAGGCUACAGUAAAUUUGCCAAACAGAAGGGAAGUGUUAACAGAAGGCCUAGGACUUCAAGAAGGGAGAAAGGGAGGAGGGAGGCGAGCAGGGAGAAAGAACAAUGCAAUGGGUAACAGAGGUAAACAGCAUACUUUUUGUGCGUUUUGUAAAAAAUGUUUUCACAGCCCAGGCACAAAUUAUAACAUCCAAAUCGGUGCUCAGUGUAUAAAGAGAAAAUACUUAGAAUAAUUAUAUUUAAAACGGAAAAUGUAAAGGAACCUAAUGGAAUUAAGGUUUCUAUACAUCAAAGUGCUAAAAUGCUGAUAAUACUAGACUGUGAUAACUUAUGUAUGUAUAAUACCUAGAUACAGAAAUUAAGACAACAUGCAAAAAUAUUAUAGAUAUACUAAAUGGAAUUCUAAGAAAUGUUGAAGUAACCCACAGGAGGGAAAAACAACAAAAAAACAACACAAAACAGAAAAGCAAAAUAACAAAAACAACCAGAAAACAAGAUGAACGAUAUAAAGGGAACACAAACAAAAAACAAAUUAAAAAACGGUACACUUAAGCCCUAACAUACCAAUAAUUAUUUUCAAUCUAAGUGAUGUAAAUCUACCACUAAAAAGUUAAGACCCAACUAUAUGCUGUUACAAGAAACUUACUUCAAAUGUAAUGAUACAGAUAAAGUUGAAAAUAAAAUUAUGGAAAAAUAUAAACCAUGCAAACAUUAAUCAAAAUGUGCAGUAGGGGGGGCGCCUGGGUGGCUCAGUCGGUUAUUAAGUGUCUGCCUUCAGCUCAGGUCAUGAUCCCAGAGUCCAAGAUCGAGUCCCACGUCAGGCUCCUUGUUCAGCAGGGAGUCUGCUUCUCCCUCUGCCCUUCACCCGGCUUGUGCUUUCUCUCAAAUAAAUAAAAUCUUAAAAAAAAAAAAAUGCAGUAGGGACUAUAUUAAUAUCACUCAAAGUAUGCUUCAAAGGCAAGAAAAUGAACAGGGACAAAAAGGGACAGGGACAUCACAUAAUGAAAGGGUCAACACACCAAGAUAACAUACCAAUACUAAAUGGGAACGCACCAAACAACAGAACUUUAAAAUACCUGAAGCAGAAAAUGAUAAUCUAUUUUUUUUUAAGAUUUUAUUUAUUUAUUUGAGAGAGCAAGAGAGCACACAAAUAGAGUGGCAGGCACAGGGAAGAGGGAGAGGGACAAGCAGGCUCCCUGCUGAGCAGAGAGCCCAAUGUGGGGCUCCAUCCCAGGACCCUGGGAUCACGACCUGAGCUGAAGGCAGAUGCUUAACCAACUGAGCCACCAAGGCACCCCAGAAAACGACAGAAUUUAAAAGAUGAACAGACUGUUAUACUUCAGGACAGUUCUACAUCAGGACUUCAUCAUCUCUCUCUCUCUGGAAUUGACAGAAAUACUAAACAGAAAGUCAGUAAGGAUAUAGAAAAUUUGAAUACUACUACCAACCAAGAGGACUGUGCGGACAUUUAUAGAAACUCCACCCAAUGACAGCAGAACAACAUUCUUUUCAGGAGGCCUUUUAGAACAUCCAAUAAAAUAGACCGUAUCUUGGGUCAUAAACACUUCAACAAAUUUAAACAGACCAAACUAGAAAUCAGUAACAAAAGAUAACAAAAGUACUCCAAACACUAGAAAACUAAAUCAUAAUCCAUGAACCCAUUAAAGUCUCUAUAAAGAAAUUGAGAAACAUUAGAGCUGAAUAAACUGUAAUGAGAACUUACGGGAUGAGGCUGUCACAGUGCUGUGAGAAAACUUUAUAGUACUAAAUGCUUACAUUAGAAAAGAAAAAAGAGCAAAAUACAACCAAAGUAGAAGAUAUAAAGAUCAGAACGGAAAUUAGUGAAAUUAUGAAGAGAAAAAUCAGUGAAAUAAAGUACUGAUUUUCCAAUAUGAUCAGAAUUGAUAAAUGCCUAAGAAGAUGGACAAAGAUAGAAAGAGAGUGGACAUAUUUCCAAAAUCAGGAAUCAAAUGAGAUAGAAGUACAGAUUCUGCUCCCAUUAAAAUAGUAAUAAGGAAAUAAACAAGUCUAUAAACUAAUUAGAAAAUUUAGAUGAAAUGAACAAUUCCUUGAAAAGGACAAACUUCAAACUAUCCAAUAUAUCCAACAUCAAAAUUAUUCUGAAUUCAAGAAAUUAGAGGAAAACCUCAACAAAAUACAAUCAAAUGGAAUGUUUUAAUAUAUAUUAUAUAUAUAUAAAAAAUUCAUGCUCUGCAACCAAAUGGGAUUUAUUCCAAGGAUGCCAGGCUGGUUCAAUAUUCAAAACUAGUCAAUGUAAUACAUUAUAUCAACAGGCUAUGGAAAAAAAAUCAGAUGAUAACAUCAACUGAUGGAGGCAAAGCAUUUGAAAAACUCUAACACUCAUUCAUAACAAAAAAAACCUCAGCAAAUUAAGAAUAGAUGGAAAAUUUCUAAACUUGAUAAGAAAACUUAAAAAACAAAAAACCUUCAGCUAAAAUCACACGAUGAAAACCUGAACAUUUUCCUCCUAAUAUGAGGAAUCAGUCAAGGGCAUCCUUUCUUACUACUAUUCAACAUCAAGUUGGAAGUCUAACUAGUGCAGUGAGAUAAAGUAACAGAUAUACAGAUGGGAAAGAAGAAAAAAAACUCUAUAUGCAGCAGACAGGUCUUUGCAGAAAAGCCUGAGAUUUUACCCAAAGAAAUGUCUACAAAUAAUGUGAGUUCACCAUGGUUGCAGGAUACCAAAAUAUCACUCCAAAAACAAUUAUCUUUCUGCAUACUACUAAAGAUCAUAUGGAAAAAUGAAACUGUAAAAAUCAAUGCCAUUUAUGAUCAUUCCAAAAAAAAACCCCCAAAACCCUAGAUACAACUCUUAACAAAAA